AACGAACGCUGGCGGCAGGCUUAACACAUGCAAGUCGAGCGCCCCGCAAGGGGAGCGGCAGACGGGUGAGUAACGCGUGGGAACAUACCCUUUAGUACGGAAUAGCCUCGGGAAACUGGGAUUAAUACCGUAUACGCCUACGGGGAAGAUUAUCGCUAAAGGAUUGGCCCGCGUUGGAUUAGCUAGUUGGUGAGGUAAUGGCUCACCAAGGCGACGAUCUAUAGCUGGUCUGAGAGGAUGAUCAGCCACACUGGGACUGAGACACGGCCCAGACUCCUACGGGAGGCAGCAGUGGGGAAGUAUUGGACAAUGGGCGAAAGCCUGAUCCAGCCAUGCCGCGUGAGUGAUGAGGGCCCUAGGGUUGUAAAGCUCUUUCGCUAGAGAAGAUAAUGACGGUAGUCUAGUAAAGAAGCCCCGGCUAACUUCGUG
rnacentral:rRNA from 1 species